rnacentral:ncRNA from 2 species
GCUUAAGGUAUGAAAAAACUCCAUAUAUUUCUGGUAAUAGGGUCCGGAAGUUUCUACUUACAUCCCGUAAAGAUGUAAACUAUGGCAAAAGAGCCUUAUCUU